rnacentral:lncRNA from 1 species
AAAAAAAAAAUAACCCGGCAGCAACUUAACAUUCAGGCAGGCUUUACAGUGCAGAAACGGAGGCAGCUAGCUUGAAUUGUACUUAGUGUAACCGUGGAGACAGGCAAGAGGCAAUUGUAGUAGUACUGAGGAGACACAAGAGAGGCAGGAUUGUACUUAGUGUAACCAAGGAAAUGGGCAGAAGCAGAUUGGUGGCUCUCAAAGAACACCACUCUAAAUUAAAAAAAAAAAAUAUUAAAAAGAUCCAAUAAAAAGAAGAAACAACAGAGAAAAAAAAAUGACUUGGUAGCAGGCUUUGAUCAUCAUUUUACAAUUUUAAGACAUUUUCAAGUGACAGUCGUAGCGUAAGGGUCAUAUUUGGCCGUAGAUGUAUGAGACUUUGACACAUUUUGGGACAUUUUCUAUAUUAAUCAUUUGGCUUGUAGUUUAGAAGUGGGAUGUGUAAGCUAGAUUUGAAAUUUUCAAUAUAAACAGACAAUAAUAAAGUUGUUGUGUUAGGUCUAAUUAAGCUUUGACAUUGCCCACUGCUUGGCAUAAUACGUAAAUGUUAAUUAUAUUAAGAAAAUGUAUGAAGGCAAAGUAUUGGUCAGGUUUAAUAUUCUUUUCAUGUAAUACUGUCAACUGUGAUGGUAUUUUGUGACAACACUUUGCUGACUGUUAGUACUCCACACUAGAAACUGCAAGAUAUAAAAAGGUGCUAGAGCCUAGUAGUGUGAAACUAGUUUCUCUAUGAACUGUUAUUGCUUUCCUUGAAUGUUGAGUUCAGCUUUGGUGGUUAUAAAAACAACAAUGGACUUUCCAGAUUUUUUUCCAAUAUAUUUGUUGUGUUCUUCUUUCCAUAGUGUAAUAAGUCACAUGUUAUUUGUGAAAAACAUGUUUGUGAUUCUUUAGAUUCUGGUCUUUCACUACUUAUUAUUUCUACAGCUCAUAAAUGGACAGUGUUAGUGAUCUUCUGUGACCAUACAGAGUAUUUGAACAUUGUCUUACAGACACUUCCAUAGUUUGUAAAUGUUUUUGAUACAAACCAUUAUGUCAUAGCUGAUUUUUUCUAGUCAGUUAUCAAACAACUGUCAUUUUCAUCGAACUGCAGUAAAAUUUGCAUGUACCCAUUUUUUUAAAACUUUUUUUUUUAAAUUUUUUCUCCCUAAAAAAUAAAAUAUUGAAAAUUAGUCGUUGA